AUUGAACGCUGGCGGCAGGCCUAACACAUGCAAGUCGAACGAGUGGCGGACGGGUGAGUAAUGUCUGGGAAACUGCCUGAUGGAGGGGGAUAACUACUGGAAACGGUAGCUAAUACCGCAUACCAUCGGAUGUGCCCAGAUGGGAUUAGCUAGUAGGUGGGGUAAAGGCUCACCUAGGCGACGAUCCCUAGCUGGUCUGAGAGGAUGACCAGCCACAUUGGGACUGAGACACGGCCCAGACUCCUACGGGAGGCAGCAGGGGGGAAUCUUCCGCAAUGGACGAAAGUCUGAUGCAGCCAUGCCGCGUGUAUGAAGAAGGCCUUCGGGUUGUAAAGUACUUUCAGCGGGGAGGAGUUACCCGCAGAAGAAGCACCGGCUAACUCCGUGCCAGCAGCCGCGGUAAUUC
rnacentral:rRNA from 1 species